UCCUGCAUUUAAUUUGUAGAUUUUGCGCCCGCUAUUCUAUAUUCUAUUAUAUCCAUAUAAUUUUAUAAUAUAUAUGAAAGUGUAAUUAAUUAAAAAAAUCCGAUAGAAUAGCGGGCGCAAAAUCUACAAAUUAAAUGCAGGA